rnacentral:rRNA from 1 species
AAAUAAGUAGCAAUACUUAUGAGAGUGGCGCACGGGUGAGUAACGCGUAUGCAACCUACCUAUAACUGGGGGAUAGCUCAGAGAAAUCUGAAUUAAUACCGCAUAACAUUAUUGAAUGGCAUCAUUUGAUAAUCAAAACUCCGGUGGUUAUAGAUGGGCAUGCGUGACAUUAGCUAGUUGGUAAGGUAACGGCUUACCAAGGCUACGAUGUCUAGGGGGUCUGAGAGGAUGAUCCCCCACACUGGUACUGAGACACGGACCAGACUCCUACGGGAGGCAGCAGUAAGGAAUAUUGGUCAAUGGACGAAAGUCUGAACCAGCCAUGCCGCGUGAAGGAUGACGGCCCUAUGGGUUGUAAACUUCUUUUAUACGGGAAGAAACCCUGAUACGUGUAUCAGGUUGACGGUACUGUAAGAAUAAGGACCGGCUAACUUCGUGCCAGCAGCCGCGGUAAUACGAAGGGUCCAAGCGUUAUCCGGAUUUAUUGGGUUUAAAGGGUGCGUAGGCGGCUUAUUAAGUCAGUGGUGAAAGACUUCAGCUUAACUGAAGAACUGCCAUUGAUACUGAUGAGCUUGAGUACAGUUGAGGUGGGCGGAAUGUGUCAUGUAGCGGUGAAAUGCUUAGAUAUGACACAGAACACCGAUUGCGAAGGCAGCUCGCUAAACUGUAACUGACGCUGAG